rnacentral:tmRNA from 2 species
GGGGGCGUAUUUGGCUUUGACGGCUACCGCGGAACCCAAAGUGCAUAUCGAGCAUGAACACAACUCGUAAAAUAUUGUUCAAAAAAUUAGUUGCAGAUAACUACAACUAUAGAUUGGCAGCUUAAUGCCAACCUGUUAUCAUGUGUGGCCUACAGCAUUUGAUAAUGGUCAUUUUUGUAGGAUAUACUCUACCGGGGCCCACCAGUAGAAUGAAUUUUAGGGCUUAGCUCAAUAUGUCUUGAUCAUCAGGCUAUAUUGAUGCGAAAUUAAUUGAUGAAUCUAAGUAUGUAGAUACUAGGGGAAAGUGAUGACGGACGUGGGUUCAAAUCCCGCCGCCUCCACCA